UCCGGUUUGACACCGGCAGUCUCCUUAGAGUCCCCACCGUUACGCGCUGGCAACUACGGGCAAGGGUUGCGCUCGUUGCGGGACUUAACCCAACAUCUCACGACACGAGCUGACGACAGCCAUGCACCACCUGUAUACCGACCACAAGGGGGGCCGUAUCUCUACGGCUUUCCGGUAUAUGUCAAACCCAGGUAAGGUUCUUCGCGUUGCGUCGAAUUAAUCCACAUGCUCCGCCGCUUGUGCGGGCCCCCGUCAAUUCCUUUGAGUUUCAUUCUUGCGAACGUACUCCCCAGGUGGUAUGCUUACUGCGUUAACUGCGACACUGACCCCGAAGGGCCAACAUCUAGCAUACAUCGUUUACGGCGUGGACUAC
rnacentral:misc_RNA from 1 species